GGAGCGAUUGGUAGCCAAGAAUGACUUGCCGGAAUGCAUGCAUUUAUUAGGUACCAAGGUGUAUUGUAUGAUUUCGACGAGUUGUUCUUGGCUACAUUUAUCUCUCU
rfam:Glycine soja cultivar W05 scaffold3667_71, whole genome shotgun sequence.